CCUACGGGGAGCAGCAGUCGAGAAUCAUUCACAAUGGGGGAAACCCUGAUGGUGCGACGCCGCGUGGGGGAAUGAAGGUCUUCGGAUUGUAAACCCCUGUCAUGUGGGAGCAAAUUAAAAAGAUAGUACCACAAGAGGAAGAGACGGCUAACUCUGUUCCAGCAGCCGCGGUAAUACAGAGGUCUCAAGCGUUGUUCGGAAUCACUGGGUGUAAAGCGUGCGUAGGCUGUUUCGUAAGUCGUGUGUGAAAGGCGCGGGCUCAACCCGCGGACGGCACAUGAUACUGCGAGACUAGAGUAAGGGAGGGGGAACCGGAAUUCUCGGUGUAGCAGUGAAAUGCGUAGAUAUCGAGAGGAACACUCGUGGCGAAGGCGGGUUCCUGGACAUUAACUGACGCUGAGGCACGAAGGCCAGGGGAGCGAAAGGGAUUAGAUACCCGAGUAGUC
rnacentral:rRNA from 1 species